rnacentral:rRNA from 1 species
GCCGCGGUAAUACGGAGGGGGCUAGCGUUGUUCGGAAUUACUGGGCGUAAAGCGCACGUAGGCGGCGAUUUAAGUCAGAGGUGAAAUCCCGGGGCUCAACCCCGGAACUGCCUUUAAUACUGCCGAUCUCGAGUCCGGAAGAGGUGAGUGGAAUUCCGAGUGUAGAGGUGAAAUUCGUAGAUAUUCGGAGGAACACCAGUGGCGAAGGCGGCUCACUGGUCCGGUACUGACGCUGAGGUGCGAAAGCGUGGGGAGCAAACAG